CUCGUCUGUGCUGCAUGUACAGAAUUUUUGCUCUCUCCACUCAUCGCCUUUUACCUUGCACCAUAUAAUCUCUGCAAAAUCCAUCCCCCAAAUAUCCACUUGCCCGGAAAAUGAGUUCCAUCAAACUGGACAACGAAAAAAAUUUCUCACCAUCCAAGCAAUUCCCAGAACUCACUCUCCAAGCCUUAACCGGGCUCCAAAACCAUUGCUCUGCUUUCCUCCAAAACCUCUCCGAAUUCCCUCUCUUUAAUCCCAACCCCUCUUGCUUCCAAACCCACCUUCAAACCUCUCUCUGCAACCUUCAAAACCUCCCAAAACAUGUAAUCGACAAUACAGUUUCUCGCUUCAACCCAAAUCCUCCCUCUUCAUCCAAAAACCCAGUCUGGGCUCGAAUUUCUCAGGAUUCCAAGACCCAAUUCGAGCCAGUUCGCCAAUCUCGUACUUCUCUGUCAACUGAAACCAUUGAAGAGAGAUUGGCAGGCGUGCCUGUGUAUGCUUUGAGCAAUUCCAAUGAAGAAUUUGUGUUGGUUUCCGGGGUUUCCACUGGGAAGUCUCUGGGGUUGCUUUGCUUCAAGAAGGAAGAUGCUGAGGCGCUUCUUGAGCAAAUGAAGAGCAUGGACCCUGGAAUGAGAAAAAGUGGGUCUAAGGUGGUUCCGGUUGCUUUAAACAAGGUUUUUCAGCUAAAGGUUGAUGGGGUGGCAUUUAGGUUGAUACCAGAGGCAUCUCAAGUCAGGAAUGCCCUUAGCGAGAGGGAAAAGGCUGGAUUUUCUGAUGAUGGCUUCUCUGGGGUUCCAGUUUUCCAGUCAAGAAGUUUGGUAUUGAGAAGCCAAAACAAGAGAUACCGUCCUGUAUUCUUUCGAAAGGAGGAUUUAGAAAAAUCUCUAAGGCGGGCUUCACGCCAGCAGAAAAAAUUAAAUCCUGCAUUUAGGCAGGGGGAUAUUCAGGUUGCCGUUUUUGAAGAAAUAAUCAAGUCUAUGAAGGAUAGUUCUACUUCAACCUGGGAUGAUGUUGUUUUCAUCCCUCCCGGUUUCGACGUUUCAACUGAUCCUGCCCAGCAAUAGGAAGCUGCAAAUGAGUAGCUCAUGGCAGCUAGAAUAUUGGGUGCAUGGGAUAGUAUCGCAGGGAAAGUAGGAGAGAGACAGAACAGAUGAUGGAAGUGGAGUUGAAAGAAGGGAGGAUCAUGGAAAAUAAGACUUUUUCCUUUCAAAGAUAAUAAUUUAUUAAAAGGCCUGUUAAAGGUAGAGAAUACAUCUUAAAAAGCCCUAAAUCUUUUUAAGGAUCUUAACUAUAAUUACCAGAGGCCCAAUACAAGAAUUACAAUUGAAGCUCAAUCCGGAUCCCCAGCCCCACUCCAGCAAAUCUGGGGCACACCAACAACGGAUAGAAAAUCCGUUGCAGAUAUCCACCAACAACACGGGUCACACUUAAGGGAGUCGUUCAGCAAGAAGAAACUCGAAGAAAAAGAGUCUCCGUCAUCUAAACAUCACAAUAGUAGCCAAAAAAGGAAAACUAAUAAUAGUGAAGAGCAGUCAAGCCAUGAGGUCAAGGAAAAAAAAAAAAACCAAGGGGAAGAAGCCAAAGGAGAAGCAGAGCUCCAUGUCUCACUCUUUUUUAGCAGCGGUGGCGGCACAAGGAUGGCCAACUUUUUAAGCCCUAGAGAUGCAGCCUCCACCUUAGCAUCAGAGACUUCCUCCACCCAUAGUACUCAAAUGGUUCAAGUAUUCACAGCUUAUGGCAACAGCUAGAAUGGUGGGUGCAUCGGAUAAUGUAGCAAGGAAAGUAGGAGAAAGAGACAGGAGAAAAAUGAAAUGGAGUUUUCUCCGUACAACAAUGAUCUGAACUUAAUCCAAAUUAGAAAAUUAAUGUUUGAACAUAAGCUGCCCAUACUUCCAUCAUCCACAUUAUUCGCCAACCGCGACUCAGUGCUCCCUUUUCCUGGGGAAUUAUUUAUCAGAAAUUGGUGUUGUAUAUCACAUUUGGCGUGGAGUUUCAGAGCGGCUGAAACUAGGUUGUGGAUAAUAUCCUUUUACAUGUUAC